rnacentral:rRNA from 1 species
AAUACAUGUACAACUUUCAACAACGGAUCUCUUGGCUCUCGCAUCGAUGAAGAACGCAGCGAAAUGCGAUAAGUAAUGUGAAUUGCAGAAUUCAGUGAAUCAUCGAAUCUUUGAACGCACCUUGCGCUCCUUGGUAUUCCAAGGAGCAUGCCUGUUUGAGUGUCAUGAA